CUUCCUUUCUUUCCCAGCACAAUAUGCUCCAAGGUGAGUAUACCCGAGGGCAAAUAGCAAUCGCUUCUGUUUCCACUCUUAAACUUUGGAUCUAAUUAUUAGUUUCACUAAUUCCUACUUCUGCAAAUUCCCUUCUACAGAUGUGUUCAAAGCCUCGUUGAAGGAAUGCAGCAUCGACACUGACUCCUGGGAAUCCCUGGCCCAUGACCGCUCAAGGUGGAGAAGUGGCAUUCAGGAUAUAUGGAGAACUUCAAGCAUGAGUGGUGGAAAGAGUGUAUCAACUCACAAAUAGCCUGCCCGACACCUCCUGCCCCAUCUGUGGAAGAGGCUGUGGUUCCAACAUUGGCCUCAUCAGUCACUACAUAUCCCUCAAUUCCAGAAAUGAAGCAAGUCAUCCUCGAUGCUAAGGAACUGGUUAAGAAAUUGACGUUUGGAAUCAGUUGUACCCUAACACACAACACUCAAGGGAAGACUCAUUACAUAAGUGUUGUAUCUACCGUUCCUGGCAUCACAACAGUAAGAACACAUUAAAAAGCACUUCACUGGAAGCAAAGUGCUUUGGGACAUCCUGUGGUGCGUGAGAUGGUAUGAGAUAGGCAAAAAGUUCCUGCUGUCAGUGCACACGAAUAUCAUCACAUUUUUGGAAUAACUGCAGAUUACAAGGAUAUCCUUAAUUUCAAUCUUAAUGAGUUUUCAAUCAACACUUCUAACAGUGAUUCCUUCUUUUUUUUUAUUUUACUGAAUAGAUGCUUCAGAACAACUUUCCAAAGGACAAAAUUAAUGACAUUUUAAAAAUGACUCAUUUAUUUGUUUUUAUGUAUUUCUCCUUCAAUGGUACCUUUACCACCCAGAGAGCAUCGAGUGCUGGAAUGCACUGGAGACGUGGGAGCCUGCAGAUGCUGCAAUCUAGAGCAAAAUAAAAACUGCUGGAGGAACUCAACGGGUCGAGCAGCAUCUGUAGACGGAAAGGAAUUGCCGAUGUUUCUGGUCAAGACCCAGACACAAGGGAAAGAAAACCAACAGAGAAACAGACUGAACGGAGCCAAGGUUCCCCACCUCAGCCUCACUUGGAGGGUUGCAUUCAAAUUUUCCCCCAAACUCGUUAUCC